rnacentral:tmRNA from 1 species
GGGGGCGUACUGGUUUCGACGGGGGAAGUGGUGGCAAGAGUAGCGAGUCGGGGUUCCAUCUGCCCGUAAUACGGUGGAAAAAGUUAUAACUGCCAAACAAGAUUUAGCUCUGGCUGCUUAAUGCAGCCACGUUCUACCUGAGUUCCUCCUGCGGCUUGGGAUAGGGCGUCGACUAGCAGGAUACCGCAGGGCCAAUUCUCGGAGGUUCUGACGGGAAACGCAUCGAGAUAGCGCCAGCGAAGCCUGUCGGUGGGCGCCGUCUGGGGCGAAAGCCAAAACACCUGACUGCACUCGGAGAAGCUCUUGUGGCCAUUCUUUCGGACAGGGGUUCGACUCCCCUCGCCUCCACCA